rnacentral:rRNA from 1 species
GGGAUAACACUUGGAAACAGGUGCUAAUACCGUAUAACACUAUUUUCCGCAUGGAAGAAAGUUGAAAGGCGCUUUUGCGUCACUGAUGGAUGGACCCGCGGUGCAUUAGCUAGUUGGUGAGGUAACGGCUCACCAAGGCCACGAUGCAUAGCCGACCUGAGAGGGUGAUCGGCCACACUGGGACUGAGACACGGCCCAGACUCCUACGGGAGGCAGCAGUAGGGAAUCUUCGGCAAUGGACGAAAGUCUGACCGAGCAACGCCGCGUGAGUGAAGAAGGUUUUCGGAUCGUAAAACUCUGUUGUUAGAGAAGAACAAGGAUGAGAGUAAAAUGUUCAUCCCUUGACGGUAUCUAACCAGAAGGCCACGGCUAACUACGUGCCAGCAGCCGCGGUAAUACGUAGGUGGCAAGCGUUGUCCGGAUUUAUUGGGCGUAAAGCGAGCGCAGGCGGUUUCUUAAGUCUGAUGUGAAAGCCCCCGGCUCAACCGGGGAGGGUCAUUGGAAACUGGGAGACUUGAGUGCAGAAGAGGAGAGUGGAAUUCCAUGUGUAGCGGUGAAAUGCGUAGAUAUAUGGAGGAACACCAGUGGCGAAGGCGGCUCUCUGGUCUGUAACUGACGCUGAGGCUCGAAAGCGUGGGGAGCGAACAGGAUUAGAUACCCUGGUAGUCCACGCCGUAAACGAUGAGUGAUAAGUGUUGGAGGGUUUCCGCCCUUCAGUGCUGCAGCA